rnacentral:rRNA from 1 species
CAGUUAGAAAUGACUGCUAAUGCCGCAUAAGCGCACAGGGCCGCAUGGCCCGGUGUGAAAAACUCCGGUGGUAUGAGAUGGACUCGCGUCUGAUUAGCUAGUUGGCAGGGUAACGGCCUACCAAGGCGACGAUCAGUAGCCGGCCUGAGAGGGUGAACGGCCACAUUGGGACUGAGACACGGCCCAAACUCCUACGGGAGGCAGCAGUGGGGAAUAUUGCACAAUGGGGGAAACCCUGAUGCAGCGACGCCGCGUGAGUGAAGAAGUAUUUCGGUAUGUAAAGCUCUAUCAGCAGGGAAGAAAAUGACGGUACCUGACUAAGAAGCCCCGGCUAACUACGUGCCAGCAGCCGCGGUAAUACGUAGGGGGCAAGCGUUAUCCGGAUUUACUGGGUGUAAAGGGAGCGUAGACGGCUUUGCAAGUCUGACGUGAAACUCCGGGGCUCAACUCCGGAACUGCGUUGGAAACUGUAAGGCUUGAGUGCCGGAGAGGUAAGCGGAAUUCCUAGUGUAGCGGUGAAAUGCGUAGAUAUUAGGAGGAACACCAGUGGCGAAGGCGGCUUACUGGACGG